rnacentral:misc_RNA from 1 species
UAAUAAGUGUUUUAUGGCACUUUUUAAAUCCAUAUCCACCUUGUGUGCAAUGUCGGUCGAUCUUCUUUUUUUGGGGAUCGACCAAACAUCAACCUUUAUUUUUUAACUCUUUGUCUGAAAAAUAUUAUGAAUAAACAAUUCAAAAUA